rnacentral:rRNA from 1 species
UGCAGUCGAGCGAAUGGAUUAAGAGCUUGCUCUUAUGAAGUUAGCGGCGGACGGGUGAGUAACACGUGGGUAACCUGCCCAUAAGACUGGGAUAACUCCGGGAAACCGGGGCUAAUACCGGAUAACAUUUUGAACCGCAUGGUUCGAAAUUGAAAGGCGGCUUCGGCUGUCACUUAUGGAUGGACCCGCGUCGCAUUAGCUAGUUGGUGAGGUAACGGCUCACCAAGGCAACGAUGCGUAGCCGACCUGAGAGGGUGAUCGGCCACACUGGGACUGAGACACGGCCCAGACUCCUACGGGAGGCAGCAGUAGGGAAUCUUCCGCAAUGGACGAAAGUCUGACGGAGCAACGCCGCGUGAGUGAUGAAGGCUUUCGGGUCGUAAAACUCUGUUGUUAGGGAAGAACAAGUGCUAGUUGAAUAAGCUGGCACCUUGACGGUACCUAACCAGAAAGCCACGGCUAACUACGUGCCAGCAGCCGCGGUAAUACGUAGGUGGCAAGCGUUAUCCGGAAUUAUUGGGCGUAAAGCGCGCGCAGGUGGUUUCUUAAGUCUGAUGUGAAAGCCCACGGCUCAACCGUGGGAGGGUCAUUGGAAACUGGGAGACUUGAGUGCAGAAGAGGAAAGUGGAAUUCCAUGUGUAGCGGUGAAAUGCGUAGAGAUAUGGAGGAACACCAGUGGCGAAGGCGACUUUCUGGUCUGUAACUGACACUGAGGCGCGA